rnacentral:rRNA from 1 species
GAUGAACGCUGGCGGCGUGCCUAAGACAUGCAAGUCGAAUGUGCUCGUAAGAGUAACAUGGCGAACGGGUGAGUAACGCCUAGGAACCUUUUCAUAGUUGGACAUAACCAGCCGAAAGGUUGGAUAAUUUCCAAUAUUGUCGUAAGACGAAAGUAGCAAUACGCUAUGAAUGCGGCCUAGGUACCAUCAGCUAGUUGGUAAGGUAAUGGCUUACCAAGGCUAUGACGGUAGGGCC